GAUGAACGCUGACAGAAUGCUUAACACAUGCAAGUCAACUUGAACUUCGGUUUGGGUGGCGGACGGGUGAGUAACGCGUAAAGAACUUGCCCCACAGAUAGGGACAACAUUUGGAAACGAAUGCUAAUACCUGAUAUUAUGAUUAUAUGGCAUCGUAUAAUUAUGAAAGCUAUAUGCGCUGUGAGAGAGCUUUGCGUCCCAUUAGCUAGUUGGAGAGGUAACGGCUCACCAAGGCGAUGAUGGGUAGCCGGCCUGAGAGGGUGAUCGGCCACAAGGGGACUGAGACACGGCCCUUACUCCUACGGGAGGCAGCAGUGGGGAAUAUUGGACAAUGGACCAAGAGUCUGAUCCAGCAAUUCUGUGUGCACGAUGAAGUUUUUCGGAAUGUAAAGUGCUUUCAGUUGGGAAGAAAAAAAUGACGGUACCAACAGAAGAAGUGACGGCUAAAUACGUG
rnacentral:rRNA from 1 species